GACGAACGCUGGCGGCGUGCUUAACACAUGCAAGUCGAGCGGUAAGGCCCUUUCGGGGUACGACGAGCGGCGAACGGGUGAGUAACACGUGGGUGACCUGCCCUCAGCUCUGGGAUAAGCCUGGGAAACCGGGUCUAAUACUGGAUAUGACUCCAUGACGCAUGUUGUGGGGUGGAAAGCCUUGUGCGGCUGAGGAUGGGCCCGCGGCCUAUCAGCUUGUUGGUGGGGUGAGGCCUACCAAGGCGACGACGGGUAGCCGGCCUGAGAGGGUGGGCCCCC
rnacentral:rRNA from 1 species